rnacentral:rRNA from 1 species
UGGGGAAUUUUGGACGAAUUGGGGGCAACCCGUCGAUCCAGCCAUCCCGCGUGUGCGAUGAAGGCCUUCGGGUUGUAAAGCACUUUUGGCAGGGAAGAAACAGCCUGGGAUAAUACCCCGGGCGGACUGACGGUACCUGCAGAAUAAGCACCGGCUAACUACGUGCCAGCAGCCGCGGUAAUACGUAGGGUGCAAGCGUUAAUCGGAAUUACUGGGCGUAAAGCGUGCGCAGGCGGUUCGGAAAGAAAGGUGUGAAUCCCAGGGCUUAACCUUGGAACUGCACUUUAACUACCGAGCUAGAGUACGUCAGAGGGGGGUAGAAUUCCACGUGUAGCAGUGAAAUGCGUAGAGAUGUGGAGGAAUACCGAUGGCGAAGGCAGCCCCCUGGGAUGAUACUGACGCUCAUGCACGAAAGCGUGGGGAGCAAAC